UACGUAGGGUGCAAGCGUUGUCCGGAAUUAUUGGGCGUAAAGAGCUCGUAGGCGGUCUGUCGCGUCUGCUGUGAAAAUCCGGGGCUCAACCCCGGACUUGCAGUGGGUACGGGCAGACUAGAGUGUGGUAGGGGAGACUGGAAUUCCUGGUGUAGCGGUGAAAUGCGCAGAUAUCAGGAAGAACACCCGUGGCGAAGGCGGCUCUCUGGGACGGUACUGACGCUGAGACGCGAAAGCGUGGGGAGCGAACAGG
rnacentral:rRNA from 1 species